rnacentral:tRNA from 1 species
AGCAGCGUGGCUUAGUGGAAAGGGCCCAGGCUUGGGAGUCGGAGGUCCUGGGUUCGAAUCCCAGCUCCGCCA